rnacentral:tRNA from 1 species
GUCCCUGUAGCGAAACAGAUAGCGCGUUGGACUUCUAUUCCAAAGAUCGUGGGUUCGAAUCCUACCUGGGAUG